UUUCUCUCCUGGAGCCUCAGCAAAUAUUCCCUGUUCUUCUCUGCCGGCUCAUUUCACAGCACAGGGGGACAGCCUGCUCCUGUGCCUCUCAGACGUUCCUUCUUGAGGAGCAACCAGCCUUCCUGGACCCCUUUGCUCUUCAGGACAGAAUCCCAAGGGACCCUCCACUGAUAGCAGUAUCCUGAAUACUUCAAAACCCGCCCUCCAGAAGCCCAGGGCAGCAGUUUUGCUGACACCCCCCACCCCUUCCUGACUGAACUCUACCAUCUCACGGUCACUCUGCCCUAGACGGCUCCCGACCUCCACAUCUCACACCAGUCCCACCCUGUUUGUGAGCAGCAGCUCUAGCGGAGCACCUCCCCGGUGGGCUCUCUUACCAGCUGCGCCAGGAGAUACACAUCUUCCACACACUCUAGAAACCUCCUAGGCUGCUGCUUCUGCACCGUACUGCAUUUCCAGCAUAGAUCAGGGAAGUUGAAGUCCCCCAUGAGAACAAGGGCUGGCGAUGGCACCAUUUCUGCCAGCUGCUGGUAGAACACCUCACACAUUUCUCCAUUCUGGUUAGGCAGUCUGCAGUAGACCCCCACCAGGAUGGCGGCUGUGUUGGUGGUGAUGACAUGACAAGAGUACUGUGUGCAGUUCUGUUACACUGUGUCUGGGCAACGGGGCAGGAAAGGGUCUGGAAGAAGAGUCCCAUGAGGAGCGGUGGAGUGAACUAGGAUUGUUCAGUCCGGAGAAGGCUCAGGGGAGGCCUCACUUCAUGUAACUCUCUGACAGGAGGCUGUAGCGAGGUGGGGGUCGGCCUCUUCUUCCAGGUAACAGCGACGGGACCAUCGAGAUGGGACCUGCUGCUUGAGUUGCAGCAGGGGAGGUCCCCGUAGCUUGUUAGGAAGAACAUGAGUGCUGUAAGAGCGGUCGGGCACUGGCACAGCUGCCCGGGGAGCUGGGGGAGUCAGCGUCCAAGGAGGUGCUCCAGAAGGGUGGGGAUGUGGCCCUGAGGGACGUGGGCAGUGGGCAGCUGGGUGGUGCUUGGUGGGACUUGGUGAUCUCUUUGCCAACCAUAGAGAUUCUGUGAUUCUGUGAUUCUGUGAGUCGAGUCGUUUAUUGGAACGAGAGGUAAUCAGCGGCCAAAAGCCCACAAGCAGAGCCUGGAGAACAUCACGGCAACACAUAAACACUCGACUGGGAUACUGCUGGAGCCACAGGCCCCGUAGUGUUCAGGUGGGGCCAGGAGGGUGGAUGUGCCGCCCAGUGCCUUCGGCAGCACCAACACGCCAGGUUCCAGCAGGGCUGCGUCCGGCACUGGGCCCCACAAUGUGCGCUGGCUGCAAGAGCCGCCGCCCUCCUGCUUGGGUGCCCUCAGCCUUGUGAGGUGUGAUGGCGUCACAGAGGGUGUCACGGAACGGCCAUUGUGACACGCGGGCUGUGGAGCAGAGCUGAGGCUGCGGAACUCAGGCCCAGCUCAGUGCGACUUGUGAGGUUGGCACGCAGAGGACGAAGCCCAGCAGUGAUGGGACAGAGACUCUGCAAGUGGUUGCGGUCGACGCGCACGCCGUGUGCGGAGACACAGCAGAGAGGAAGAUCUCUCAGAUUGGGAGAUCCAGCAUGCGUGUUCUGUGGCCGAAUGGACGAGGACUCGUGCAUCCUUGGCCGCAGACGUCAGGGAUAUGGGCUCUCCUUCCAUUCUUUCU